rnacentral:rRNA from 1 species
GUGGGGAAUCUUGCGCAAUGGGGGAAACCCUGACGCAGCGACGCCGCGUGGGUGAUGAAGGCCUUCGGGUUGUAAAGCCCUGUGGGGAGAGACGAAUAAGUUUGGUCAAAUAGGCCGAAUGAUGACGGUAUCUCCUUAGCAAGCACCGGCUAACUCUGUGCCAGCAGCCGCGGUAAGACAGAGGGUGCAAACGUUGUUCGGAAUGACUGGGCGUAAAGCGUAUGUAGGCGGUCUUGUAGGUCGGAUGUGAAAUCCCUUGGCUCAACCAAGGAAGUGCAUUCGAAACCACGAGACUUGAGUGCCUGAGAGGAAGGUGGAAUUCUCGGUGUAGAGGUGAAAUUCGUAGAUAUCGAGAGGAACACCCGUGGCGAAAGCGGCCUUCUGGAAGAGCACUGACGCUGAGAUACGAAAGCAUGGGGAGCAAACAGGAUUAGAUACCCGUGUAGUCC